rnacentral:rRNA from 1 species
GACGAACGCUGGCGGCGUGCUUAACACAUGCAAGUCGAACGGUGAAGGGACCGGUUUUUGCUGGUUCUGGAUGAGUGGCGAACGUGUGAGUAACACGUGUGUCACCUGCCCCCUUCUUCUGGAUAACCGCAUGAACGGGUGUCUAAUACGGGAUAUUCUGCGCCUGCUGCAUGGUGGGUGGGGGGAAGAUAUUGUUUCGGCUGGGGAUGGGCUCGCGGCCUAUCAGCUUGUUGGUGGGGUGAUGGCCUACCAAGGCGGUGACGGGUAGCCGGCCGGGGAGGGUGGACGGCCCCAGUGGGACGGAACCGCGGCGCAGACUACGACGGGAGGCAGCAGGGGGGAAUAUGGCACGAUGGGCGCAAGGCUGAUGCAGCGACGCGGCGUGAGGGAUGGAGGCCGUAGGGUUGUAAACCUCUUUCGCCAGUGAAGCAGGCCUGUCCCUUUUGUGGGUGGGUUGACGGUAGCUGGAUAAGAAGCGCCGGCUAACUACGUG